CGCCUUUCGAUAAAUUAAUAUGAAAGGUCCUGCCUGCCCAGUGACACAUUUUAACGGCCGCGGUAUUAUGACCGUGCAAAGGUAGCAUAAUCACUUGUCUUUUAAAUUAGGACUAGCAUGAAUGGCAAAACGAUAAGCCUAACUGUCUCCUUGGACUAGUCAAUGAAAUUGAUCUUCUCGUGCAGAAGCGAGAAUACAACUAUAAGACGAGAAGACCCUGUGGAGCUUAAAAAUAAAAUUAUAUAAAUAUUUAUAAUAAUAUUAAAUUUAGGUUGGGGCGACCAUGAGGUAAAAUAUAACCCUCAAGACAACAAUUAGAAGGACACUUCAAACAAAAUAAAAUUUAUACAUUGACCCAAUAAUGAUCAACGAACCAAGUUACCCCAGGGAUAACAGCGCAAUCCAUUCCCAAAGCCCAUAUCGACGAAUGGGUUUACGACCUCGAUGUUGGAUCAGGACCCCCAAAUGGUGCAACAACUAUUAAAGGUUCGUUUGUUCAACGAUUAAAGUCCU
rnacentral:rRNA from 1 species